UAAUGUAUGGGGAUCUGCCCGAUAGAGGGGAAUAACUACUGGAAACGGUGGCUAAUACCGCAUAAUGUCUACGGACCAAAGCAGGGGCUCUUCGGACUUUGCACUAUCGGAUGAACCCAUAUGGGAUUAGCUAGUAGGUGGGGUAAAGGCUCACCUAGGCGACGAUCUCUAGCUGGUCUGAGAGGAUGAUCAGCCACACUGGGACUGAGACACGGCCCAG
rnacentral:rRNA from 1 species